rnacentral:rRNA from 1 species
AGAGUUUGAUCAUGGCUCAGGAUGAACGCUAGCGGCAGGCUUAAUACAUGCAAGUCGAGGGGCAACGAGUUCUCACUGAGAUUCUGAAGUUUUCGGAGUUUCUGUGAGAAUGUCGGCGAGCGGCGGACGGCUGAGUAACGCGUGGGAACAUACCCCAAAGUGAGGGAUAACCUUCCGAAAGGAAGGCUAAUACCGCAUAUGGUCUUCGGAUUAAAGGAUUUAUCCGCUUUGGGAAUGGCCUGCGUCGGAUUAGGUAGUUGGUGAGGUAAAGGCUCACCAAGCCGAUGAUCCGUAACUGGUUUGAGAGGAUGACCAGUCAGACUGGAACUGAGACACGGUCCAGACUCCUACGGGAGGCAGCAGUGAGGAAUCUUCCACAAUGGGCGCAAGCCUGAUGGAGCAAUGCCGCGUGCAGGAUGAAGUAUUUCGGUAUGUAAACUGCUUUUAUUAGGGAAGAAAAUUGACGGUACCUAAUGAAUAAGGAUCGGCUAACUACGUGCCAGCAGCCGCGGUCAUACGUAGGAUCCGAGCGUUAUCCGGAAUUAUUGGGCGUAAAGGAAGCGUAGGUGGUCUUGUAAGUAAGAUGCGAAAGCUCUCCGCUCAACGGAGAAAUUGUAUCUUAUACUGUUAGACUAGAGGUUGGUAGAGGUAAGCGGAAUUAGUAGUGUAGCGGUGAAAUGCGUAGAUAUUACUAAGAACUCCAAUGGCGAAGGCAGCUUACUGGGCCAUACCUGACACUGAGGCUUGUAAGCGUGGGUAGCGAUCGGGAUUAGAUACCCCGGUAGU